rnacentral:rRNA from 1 species
GGACCCCCACACUGGCACUGAGAUACGGGCCAGACUCCUACGGGAGGCAGCAGUAAUGGAUAUUGCGCAAUGGACGAAAGUCAGACGCAGCGACGCCGCGUGGGCGAUGAAGGCCUUCGGGUUGUAAAGCCCUUUUAUGGGGGAAGAGAAAAAGGACGGUACCCCAGGAAUAAGUCCCGGCUAACUACGUGCCAGCAGCCGCGGUAAAACGUAGGGGACAAGCGUUAUCCGGAUUCACUGGGCGUAAAGAGCAUUGAGGCGGUUCCGUAAGUUGGGCGUGAAAGCUCCGGGCUUAACUCGGAGAUGUCGUUCAAUACUGCGGGGCUUGAGGACAGCAGAGGAAGGUGGAAUUCCCGGUGUAGUGGUGAAAUGCGUAGAUAUCGGGAGGAACACCCGUGGCGAAGNCGGCCUUCUGGGCUGUUCCUGACGCUGAAGGCGAAAGCUAGGGGAGCGAACGGGAUUAGAUACCCCGGUAGUCCUAGCUGUAAACGAUGGAUGCUGGGUGUGGGGGGUGUAAAUUCCCUCUGUGCCGAAGCAAACGCGUUAAGCACCCCGCCUGGGGACUACGGCCGCAAGGCUAAAACUCAAACGAAUUGACGGGGGCCCGCACAAGCAGCGGAGCGUGUGGUUUAAUUCGAUGCUACACGAAGAACCUUACCUGGGUUUGACAUGCACGUGGUAGGGAACCGAAAGGGGACCGACCUUCGGGAGCGUGCACAGGUGCUGCAUGGCUGUCGUCAGCUCGUGCCGUGAGGUGUCGGGUUAAGUCCCGUAACGAGCGCAACCCUUGCCCUUAGUUACAAGUGUCUAAGGGGACUGCCCGGGACAACUGGGAGGAAGGUGGGGAUGACGUCAAGUCAGCAUGGCCUUUAUAUCCAGGGCUACACACACGCUACAAUGGCCGGUACAAUAGGUUGCGAAGUCGUGAGGCGGAGCCAAUCCUCAAAGCCGGUCUCAGUUCGAAUUGCAGUCUGCAACUCGACUGCAUGAAGCUGGAGUUGCUAGUAAUCGCAGGUCAGCUAUACUGCGGUGAUACGUUCCCGGGCCUUGUACACACCGCCCGUCACGUCAUGGAAGCUGGCAACGCCUGAAGCCGGUGAGCUAACCCGAAAGGGAGGCAGCCGUCGAGGGUGGGGCU